GAUGAGACAUUAGCGCCAGACAUAUUUUGGGAUAAUCUUUACAGGAGACUAAAUGUUCACAGGGAUGGCCGCAUAGAUGCUCUGGACCUAGUGCAUGCUUUAGAAGAUGUUUCACAGGUACAGUGCUUUUAAUGUGAGGACAGUGCCUUAAUUAAAAUAUCUGUAUAUUAUACCACAAACUGUGCAUUACUCAAGUAAAGAUGCAGUUCCAUAUUUUGCAGUCAGAAUUUUUGUUGCCUACUAUCGCACCUGGAAGUUAUGAACAGGACGUGGUCAUUCAAAUCCUUGAGCCUGAUCUGCUAUUUAAUGUAGUCCUUGCUGAUCUGUAUUUUGUGGCCACAAAAAUCUGUCUGCUUCAGAUGCAAAACAUUUCAUGGAACUUGCAUCAAAUACUGUUGAAAGCAUUCCUCAUUACUACCAUCUUUUGCAUGCAGCGUUCCCUAAAUUAUUUCCUGAAUGGCCUGGCAUUGAUCUAAGACCAUAAGAGAUAAGAGCAGAAUUAGGCCAUUUGGCCCAUUCAGUUCUGUUCUGUUGUCCCAUCAAAAGUUUCUUUCUAACCACCCAGUCAAUUCCUAUUAAAAAAAAUUUAAUAUUGCAAUUACUGCUGGUGAUAAAAGUUUGGAUAAUAUGGUUGUGCUGAAUUUUAUAAUUGCUCAAUUUAAAAAACAGAAAAUCUCCAUCACCUGCUAUAUUUGGAAUUUAAAGCUGGAUACAGUGCUCAGAUUUAAUCUGGUGACCAACCUCUAGUAGCACAGUGCAGUUCUUCAGUGUUUAUUAGGUAACAGUGCUGCUGAAGCACAUGCUCCUUGGUGUCAGCAAGCUCAACCUUUAUAUUAACUGGUUAACAAGGUAUUUACAUUCUAGCUGGAAAAGCUGUGCCUAAAUUAUGAGGCUUACUUUAAUGCACAGAAUUUUUGAUUUAAGUUGAUUAGCACCUCUUGGGAUUGGGAACUAUCCUCAUUGUUAACAAGUAUUUGAUUGAUAGCGUUGCCUGAUGAAAUCUCUGGUGUAAUUUCUGUUGCAUCCAUACCUUGGCAUGAACAAGUCUCCUCUUCACAGCACUAUGAGCUCCAAAAUGGGUAAGGUAAGCAGGAUUUAUUCCAACUAAAACGGUACAUGAAUGUGUGUUCUUAGUACCAGUCUGAUCGGCUGUUCAGUCAAAUAGCCCCUGAGCCAGGAGGAGACCACAUUGCUACUAGCAACAUGCUUCCUGCAGCCAGAAGCUGUGCACAAUGAUGGUGGAAUCUCCAAUUUCUUUCUAUUGCCUGGCUGACCGGGAAUUUCUCCCACUCUUACUGCUCACCCUUUGCAUGAGUUGAAUAGAUUUACAGCUUAAUAAUCCCCUGGGCCAUCAAGUCAUCUUAGGGGGCUUGACAGUAAAUGCUGAGAGGAUGCUUCCCCCUCAUGGGAGGGUCAAGGACCACAGGGUAUGGUGUCAGAAUAAAGGGGUGUCAGUUUAUGACUGAAAUAAGGAAGAGUUUCUUCUCUGAGAGUUGAGUCUUUGGGAAUUUUUAUCACAGAGAGUUGUGAGGGCAGUGUCCUUGUGUAGAUUUAAGGUUGAGAUUGAUUCUUGAUUAGUAGUGGAAUCAAGGUUAUGGGGCAAAGGCAGGAAAGUGGAUGUGAGGAAUCAGCUAUGAUUCACGGAUAGUGGAGCAGGUACAAGGGGCCGAACAGCCUAAUCUUAUUCCUGUUUCAUAUAACCUUUAAGUCCUGGAGUGUACAGAGGCACUCUACAUAGCAUCACAAGGUUUCCCUAGCAUAAACUAGAAGAGUUGUAAUUAUUCAAAAAAUAAACUCUCUCCCUUAACUGAGAGAAAAUAUUUAAUUGCCAAGGCAAAAUACUGUAUGAAAUGUUUGCAAUUUGAAAAAUAAAGUUGAUAUCGCACAUUAUAUCAAGACGAAAAUGGAGGUCUGUUAUUAUCGCACUUUUCCCCACUUCCUGUGCAUAAAUCUAUCAAUGCCCAGAAUAAAUAGUCUUAUUCUGUUUAUUUCCCGUACCUAUCUAGAAGAAAUUAAUUGUGUUUAAUGAAUUAUUUUUCCCUUUUUUUCAAAUAAAAUGACUGUUACAGGAAGAAUCGAAAACUAAAAAUUUUGAGGCGUUCCGGAAAUACCUUGAGAGGAACAACAAGAAACUAUUGCUGGGUUUUGGAAAAGUCACAAAGAACAGAGGUGGGAACAUAAGCAAAUGGAGGAUUAUGCACCUCAUGGGAAGACUGCAUGUCAGUAUUAAUCUUUUCCACGCAAACAGAAUUCUUAAUCAGAAUUCAGAUGUCAAGAAACCAAAUACUGCUCUUUCUAUUGUUGCAAUUUAUCAGCUUGGACCCAAAUGAUUAUAUGGAUAUGGAUUGGAAUGAAUGGCGGGAAAUCUACAUAACAACUGUGGAGGACAACAUGCGAACUAUGAUUGACGUCUGGAGAUACAACAGUAUCUUUUCCAUUAAUGAUGACAUAACUAAUUGUGAGGAAUUCUUGGAGAAUGAGGAACCGGAGAAGUGGUGGGGCCACCUUAUAGCAGGAGGCACCGCUGGAGGUGUUUCACGAACAGUGACUGCCCCAUUUGAUCGGCUCAGGGUGUUGAUGCAGGUUUAUUCCACACGGCAAAAUAAGAUGAAGGUUUCUACUGGCCUGAGAACAAUGAUCAGGGAAGGAGGUGUAAGUUCAAUGUGGAGAGGGAAUCUAACUAACAUUAUCAAAAUUGGUCCUGAGCUAGCAUUCAAGUUCAUGGCCUAUGAAGAGUUCAAGACUCUAAUAGUGGAUGAACCAGAAAAUUUGGGAAUGAAGGAAAGAUUUCUUGCAGGCUCAAUGGCUGGUGCAUUCUCUCAAACAGCCACUUAUCCAGUUGAGAUGCUGAAGACGAGAAUGAUGUUACGAAAAACAGGGGAACCACGGGAACUCUAUGCCCAAAUCAGUAACAUAUUCAAAUAUGAAGGAAUUUCUACCUUCUACAGGGGCUAUGUGCCAAAUAUCCUGGGAAUCAUCCCCUAUGCUGGUAUCGACCUGGCUGUGUACGAGACACUGAAGAACUUGUGGAUACGGAGAUACACAAAAGGAAAUGAGCGCCCUAAUAUGUUGCUGGUCGUGGGCAGUGCCACGACUUCGAAUAUAGUUGGGCAGCUGGCCAGUUACCCACUGAUGGUGCUGCAUACUCACAUGCAGGCACAAGUCAUUGAAAAGGGAAUGAAAAAGCCAAGGAUGAGGGAAUACUUCUGGAAGAUUUUAGGCACGGAUGGCUUGCCUGGGUUCUACCGUGGAUUUACUGCAAACUUGAUCAAGGCCGUUCCAUCAGUCUGCAUCAGUUACAUACUGUACGAAUAUCUGAAGACUCGCAUGGGCCUGACCUCCCACUAAGGACUGCCAGCCAACACCCCGAAACGGACACGAUUAUUUACAAAGGAAUCUGUGUUUUAUAACUGGGCACUGGUGUGCUUAAUCCAUCAUUCUGGAGGGAAGGUCCAACGCUGCAGAGAUGGUUGCAGGUCAUCAAUCUCCUGUGGUAUAGCAGCUUCAAAGGAAACACAUGCUGGACACUUGACCUGAUUUCAUCUCCCACAUUCUCUGUCACCCAGCCUGUGGGCUCCUGGAUAUCACUGUCAAAGCUCCGUGAUUUCCAGUGGAAUCUCCAUCACCCGUUCCCUCGCCUUGUGCAAUGGCGUGGACUUUGCAGACUCCGUCCUGGCAUUCCUGUCCACAUAGCUCCCGCUCUCUGUGUUCAGCGUUUCCAGGGAUCUGACCAAGACCCUCUGGUCAUCUUCAGGCAGACUGUUCAGAUCAGAGGCCAGCAAGGUGCCAGUGCUGCCAUGAACCACAUGAAUGCCAUCAGGACCUUUCAGCUCCACAGGGUGCCGAUGCUUGAACUUCAGAGUUCCACGACUGGGGGGUUUCUCAUCGUCAUCUUCCACGUCGCUGGGAAUCAGCUUUUGCCAAAGAUGGGGAAGAGUUGGACAAGACAAAACAAAACAAAACAAAACAAAACCCAGACCAUUAGGCUAUUUCAUAUUCUUACACUGCAAUCAGUACACAUCAUUACUGAGAAAUCAUGUUGCAUUUUAUUCAGAAGGGGGAGACUGCAUGCAGUUCGGUUUGCAACAAGCCCAACGAGAUAGAGCUGCAGCAAACAACAAACCAGGUGAAUUCCUAAAGAAUUCAAAAGACGUGGGUAAUUGUUCCUAUUGCAUCUGUUCAGUUCUGUUGUGUUACAAGAACAGUACCAGAGGUAUUUGAACCUCAAACACCUUGUUUAUUACACAUUCCAGAUGUGUUACAUGGAACUAAAGUGAAAUUUUCAUCUAGAGGAAAAAUGCCAAGGGAAUUAGUGAACAAAAGCUCCUUCACAUUUUGAGGAUUGAUGAAGAGUUGGGUGACCACUGUCUAACAAUCAAGCCUGUAGAACUUGAGUUCUGAAGAAGUCAUAUUAAACUUGAAACAUUAACUCUUUCUCUAUCUUCACAGAUGCUGCCAGAUCUGCUGAAAAUUUUCCAGCAAUUUUCCUCUAUUUCAGAUUCUCUAGCAUCUGCUAUAUUUAAUUUUUAUUUCAUACAGCAAUGACAGCUUUUUUAAAAAAAAACUUUCUUUGCCUGGAAAGCAAUUUGGAGGUUUUAUACUAAUUAAAUGAAAUGUCGGUCACUUUUCCUUUAGUAGGAGUGUCAGCCCAGAUGGUGUUCCAUACUCUUCCCUUCGCAAGGGACUUGUUCUUUUAACCAUUAUCACAGCAUACAGAUGUUCGACUGAAGCUGUACAUUACAGGUUUACAAUUUGAGAGAGGUUGGACAGGGGAGACCUAUGGGAUGUGGCGUCUGUUUCUGCUCCUAUUUAUGUUUAUGUACAAUAGUGGCCACACUUAGUUCUAGUGUUAAGAAGUUUUCUAAUGCUGUUGAAUAAAUGGAAUGUAAUUCUUUCCC